rfam:TPA: Bos taurus chromosome 6, whole genome shotgun sequence.
UCCCUGGUGGCUCAGACGGUAAAGCGUCUGUCUACAAUGCAGGAGACCCGGGUUCGAUCCCUGGGUUGGGAA